GGCGGAGCUGCCUCCUGGAGUCCCUAGUGCGCCAGGAGCCUCGCUCUGUUCUGAUUCGUAUGGGCUCCACCGAGUUCCGCUUGCGUCAGGCGCCUUCGCCCCUAUAGCGGGGCGGCCAGCCGCGCACGGGCGAGUUCAUCUCCAAGUCACUUUUUGUAAACGCCCCGCACAGCCUGGACCGGCCUGCCCCCGCCCAGCGAGCCUCGGGGGCCCAGCCGACAGCCAGGCUCACGCGCCCUUGAAAUCUGCCGGUACUCGCUCUGCGGGCUGGGCUGGGAGAUGACGAGGACCCCGGUGGGGUCUGCCCGCACCCGGCCAAAGCCCAGGAAGCUCGGGCCCCAGCGAGGAAAGGCGCUCCAAGCCUCCUCGCGGCUUUCAGAGGAACAGAAUCCCCAGCCCUGGUGAAGAAGAGGAUGCCUGAUGCGUGCACCCUGGGAAGGGCUGGAAUCGGUCUCCCCAAGAUGUGCCUUCACAUGGCUGUCCGGCAUUCGAAGGCUCAGAAAACAGGCAAGAAAAUGCGGGCGGGAAGCCUGGCAGAAUGAUUACUUUCAGGUCCCCCCCAGGCUUCUGCGGAAAAGCCAGGGGCUUCGGGCUGGAGAUAGAGGAACCUAGGGAGAGAGUAGAAUCCUCUCCUUGCCGGCCCAGCCAGAGGUGGGUGAACCGGGCGCUCCAGGAAACGGUGCGGGGCGCCUUGAUUUACUUCUCAACCUUCGGAGGCAGGCUGGUUGCUGGCGAGGUCGGGAUCCUUUCUGAACAGGGCAUACUGUGCCUAGGUUUUGUGGACGCCAGGGCCGGUUCCUUUUCUCCCCGCGGCAUUGGGGCGACGCAGGGCCCCGGCUUAGUGACCUUGGGGCGGCGCUCACCUCCAAAGGCCAGGGUGGUGGGCUGGGCAGAACUCACUGCCUCUUUGCCCCAGUUUUCCAGGGUCCCGCAGCUGCAAUUCAGCAGCCACCGGCGCCUCCUGACCGUGGUCCCACCGUAGCGCCGCCUGCGGAUACGGUUCCAGUGAACCGCCGAUUGAGCGCAGUCUCAGCUCCCGCGCCUCCUCGCAGCCUGGCCCCGCGCCUCGGAGGUCCCGACAGCCGGCGCGAGCAAUCUACACCGCUCUGACAGAGACGCUUCUCUCCCCAGGGCCGGGAAUCCUGCAACGGCGGCAGAAGCGGCCCGCGCCUCGGGCUUCCGGCGGCCCAGCUCUACUAGGGGAGCGUCGCGGCUGCUCUGAGGCAGGCAGCGCUUCGCUAGAACCGCUCAGCUCGUCCCGCGCCGCCGCCGGCUGCCUGAACCAGGUUCCGCUGUCCCCUUUCCUAGCGGGACCCCGAAACACCCGCCGGCUUCCCGCGCCUGAGCGGGAGAGAAUAGAGCUUGCUGCAACCCUCUGCUUGGAGGGAUGGCCUCUGCGGUGCUUGGCUAGCAAAGGGAAGCUUCACUGUGUCUAUUAGUACAUCCCCAUACACUCCACGCCUCAACAACUGUCAGCACUCACUCCCUCCCGGCCCCUCACAGGGCCCUGUGCACCCACACCUCAGGGACUCGGUGUCCCUCCACUCAGGUCACGUUACUCCAUCCACUUCUCUCUCCUUCUCCCUCUGUCAACUCCAAAUCCCCUCUAGUUCUCCCUCCCCUCCUACUUCUCUCACACUCACCAGCUACACAUACUAAUUCAGAUUUUGCACAUGUUGGUGGAAAACAUGUCAAGCCAAUGUGCAGACCCUAAGGCUUUUCACACGCUGCUCACUUUCGCAUCUCACGGCGCAGAAGGACCUCUGGGCUCCAGGUUUACAAGCCUGACUCCGAGAAGCCUGUUGAUUCUCUGAUGUCCUUGGCCUGUGAUUCGGGUGACUGGGCUGCCACCUGGGUGUUUUCAUGGUGGGAUUGCCGCACAGACCACAGAGAAGCUCAGGUACUGAGCACGUUCCAGAUACACUUUAACAUGCACAGGCCACUCACACAGGCUUUAUCUCUGUCUCGAAACUCUGCUGAGCUUGCUGCUCAGACCAACAAGGUGCAGCAGCAGACACCCACAUAGCACCGGGUCUGAAGCCAGUGGGUAUUAGUCUGCCUGGUUGGGAUUAGCAAAGUCAGUUACCCACGUAUGUGCUUGGGAGAGAAUAGGGGAGUGGAGAGAGAGAGAGAGAUAUUGAGGAAGAGGAAAGAGAAGCGACCUCCUACUCUGGGAAGAACUCACACAUGAGAGCUGUUUCCUGUUGUUAAGUGUCUCACUGAGCUCCCCUCUUUCUCCCCCAGGAAGGGCUUGAGAGGCAGUAGACCAGAGCUCUGGGCUCCUCUUUCCCUUGCUGAUGUUGGGGUAUGAGUCCUCCAACACCACUUUGUCCCAAGGAGUAUGUGCCCCACCGUCAAUCAGGCAGAAUGCAGGGCAGUUGUCGGCCUUUUUCAUGGUGGAGGCCAACUGGGAAAAAGGCAGAAGGGUCUGGGUCCUGGGCCAAGUGAGGCCCUCUUCCCUCCAAAGACCCGUGGGAUGCUCUCAGAGGCGGAUUCUAGGGUGGUGGGAGCUGCUGACAAGUUUCCUCUGAUAUCCCUCGUGACAUCUAUGGCCCAAAGCCAUUUUGUUCAGCUCUGAACAGUGAGUGCCUUGCCAGUAGGCCUCAGGCUUGCUGGGGAACAUGAUGUGUUCUUAAAAGUUGCCUUGUUGCCUUUCUCCACACCCAGACUGUAAGCGCUGAUGGGCAGAGACUCUGCCCUCCACUUCUCACUCAGUGCUCCCCACCAGGAUGGGCUUAAUGCCUUUUAAUAGAAUUAGAAAAUGGUUCUGCUGGACAGAAUUGGGAAAUGCCACUUUCCUUAUAAUGAAGUUAGAAUUUCCAAGAAAGGGACUGUAGCUGAGGAAAAGCGGUUUGAUCAUUGACAGCCAGCUCAGGAUCUGAGAGUUCUUUGCCAUUUGGGGUUAUUAUAGCUGCAUGGCCAUGGUGCUGAACCUUAGGCAAGGACAAGGACACCUCCCUAGUUCCCAGUCAUGGUGAGGGCCUGUCUGAAACAUUCAAACUAUACUUUACUGGAAACAGAGAAGUCUCUGCAUUCAGGGCAGCUGGCUUGCAAGGUAAGGCCUGCAGUCUCCACCCCCACGCUAACCCAUGAGGGGAUGCCAGAGAGAGCCCUUCCCCCUUGGUCCUCAUUCCUGGCUCAAUUUUCUCCCACAAAGUGGGCACUGCCUAAAGAUGAUAGGCAACUGCCAUGGAGGAAGGCAGUUUUAGAUGCCUAGCUGGCACAAAGUCCAGAGGAAGGGAGGGAGAAGGGCUGAGUUUUGUAUUACUGUUCUACCUUUGGAGAUUUUCCUCAUGCCAAGAUAGUGUGUGUGUGUGUGUGUGUGUGUGUGUGUGUAUGUGUGCACUAUAACUUUAUGAAACACUUUUUUUUUUUUUUUUUGAGACAGGGUCUCACUCUGUUGCCCAAGCUGGAGUGCAGUGGUGCAAUCUUGGCUUACUGCAGUCUCCACCUCCCAAGCUCAAGUGAUCCUCCCACCUCAGCCUCAGCCUCCCAAGUAGCUGGGACUAUGGGUGUGAGCCAACACACUCAGGUAAUUUGUUUUUUUUUUUUUGGUAUUUUUGGUAGAGACAGGGUUUUACCAUGUGGGCCCAACUGGUCUUGAACUCCUGAGCUCAGGGUGAUUUGCCUGCUUCAACUUCCCAAAGUGUUGGGAUUACAGGUGUGAGCCACCAUGCCCAGUCAGUUUUUUAUUUUUUAUUUAAACAGUUUUGGGGGAACAGGUGGUUUUUGCUUACAUGGAUAAGUUCUUUAAUAGUAAUUUCUGAGAUUUUGGUGCACUUGUCACCCGAGCAUUGUACACGGUACCCAGUGUGUAAUCUUUUAUCCCUCAUCCCCCUCCUACACUUCCCCCCCGAGUCCCCAUUAUCUAAUUCUUUUUUUCUUCUUUUUGAGACAGAGUCUCACUCUGUUGCCCAGGCUGGAGUGCAGUGGCAUGAACUUCGCUCACUGCAGCCUCCUGAGUUCAAGUGAUUCUCCUGCCUCAACCUCCUGUGUAGCUGGGACUACAGGCAUGCACCACCAUGCCCAGCUAAUUUUUGUAUUUUUUGUAGAGAUGGGGUUUCACCAUGUUGGCCAGGCUAGUCUUGAACUCCUAACCUCAAGUGAUCUGCCUAUUUUGGCCUCCCAAAGUGUUGGGAUUACAGGCGUGAGCCACUGCGCCUGGUCCAUUAUGUCAUUCUUAUGCCUUUGCAUCUUCAUAGCUUAGCUCCCACUUGUAAAUGAAAACACAGGAUAUUUGGUUUUCCAUACUUGAGUUACUUCACUUAGUAUAAUGGUCUCCAGCUCCAUCCAGGUUGCUGUGAAUGCCAUUAUUUUGUUCCUUUUUAUGGCUGAGUAGUAUUCCAUGGUGUAUAUAUAUCACAUUUUCUUUAUCCACUCAUUGGUUGAUGGGCAUUUAGCCUUGUUCCAUAUUUUUGUAUGCAGUAUAACUUACAGAUGGUAAACAAUAUACAGCUUGAUGUAUUCUGACAUGUAAUGCAGUAUGUAACCAGCACCUGGAUCAAGAUGUGGAGCAUUUCUGGCACUUCAUAAGGUUCCUUCAUAUCUUUUUCCAAUCAAUAUUGCCUCAAAAGGGAAACCAUAUUUGGAUUUCUAUCACCAUAAAUAACCUUUGCCUGCCUUGAGCCUCGUAUAAAUGGAGCAUAUAGCAUGUAUGUCUUUAUGUCUAGUUUUUUCUGUGCAACAUAUUUUUAAUAUUCACUGGUCUUGUUGCAUGUGUCAGACAUUUAUUUCUUUUUAUUGCUGUGUAAUAUUCUAGUAUUUGCUUAUCCAUCCAUAUGCUGAGGGACAUUUGUUUCCAGUUUUUGGAUAUCAUAAAUAAAGCUGCUGUGCACAUUG